rnacentral:rRNA from 1 species
CUGCUGCCUUCCGUAGGAGUUUGGGCCGUGUCUCAGUCCCAAUGUGGCCGUUCACCCUCUCAGGCCGGCUACUGAUCGUCGCCUUGGUGGGCAGUUACCCCGCCAACAAGCUAAUCAGACGCGGGUCCAUCUUACACCACCGGAGUUUUCAAGGAAAAGACAUGCAUCUUUCCCUGUUAUGCGGUAUUAGCACCUAUUUCUAAGUGUUAUCCCCCAGUGUAAGGCGGGUUACCCACGCGUUACUCACCCGUCCGCCACUAAGAUACCAA